rnacentral:rRNA from 1 species
CCCUUAGAUGUUCUGGGCCGCACGCGCGCUACACUGACGGAGGCAGCGAGCGUGUCCUUCGCCGGCAGGUGCGGGCAAUCUUGCGAGUCUCCGUCGUGCUGGGGAUAGAUGGUUGCAAUUGUCGAUCUUGAACGAGGAAUUCCUAGUAAGCGCGAGUCAUCAGCUCGCGCUGAUUACGUCCCUGCCCUUUGUACACACCGCCCGUCGCUACUACAGAGUGCCCGUGUCCAAGAAACGGUCGGACCUGUGCGGCCUCUCCGGGCGACCGGAGGGCCGUUACGGGGAAGCCCCUUUAUUUGACGCGGGUCGAUGAAGUAAAAGUCGUAACA